CGGCCGCCCAUAAAGUUCCCGUGUUUCUGUGAGUCACUAAUUACUCUUCCAAGUUAGACUUGACUGAGCUAAGUUCUUCGGACGACCGUGGGUUCCGUGUCGAGGGUGAAAAAAACAUUUAUUUAGCUUCCGGGAAGAGUUGACGCAAUCGUGCCACAUUCAAGACAGGAUCAUCACAGCCACUCCUAAAUGGGCACCAUUAUCUCUGGCCAUGUGGCUGGCUCGCUGCAUGUUUAAGUCAAUAUUUGUUUGCGAGAGUGUUUUGCCUGCUCGUGUACAAGUUCCCACAUAUGUGCCUGGUGCUCCCACGGGUACUGGGAACUGGACUUCAAUCCUCUGCAAGAACAGUACUCCUAAUCACUGAAUCAUUACUCCAGCUCUCUUGUGUUAACGCUGAUGCUUCU
rnacentral:lncRNA from 1 species